GACGAACGCUGGCGGCGUGCUUAACACAUGCAAGUCGAACGGAAAGGCCCUGCUUUUGUGGGGUGCUCGAGUGGCGAACGGGUGAGUAACACGUGAGUAACCUGCCCUUGACUUUGGGAUAACUUCAGGAAACUGGGGCUAAUACCGGAUAGGAGCUCCUGCUGCAUGGUGGGGGUUGGAAAGUUUCGGCGGUUGGGGAUGGACUCGCGGCUUAUCAGCUUGUUGGUGGGGUAGUGGCGUACCAAGGCUUUGACGGGUAGCCGGCCUGAGAGGGUGACCGGCCACAUUGGGACUGAGAGACGGCCCAGACUCCUACGGGGGGCAGCAGUGGGGAAUAUUGCACAAUGGGCGGAAGCCUGAUGCAGCAACGCCGCGUGCGGGAUGACGGCCUUCGGGUUGUAAACCGCUUUCGCCUGUGACGAAGCGUGAGUGACGGUAAUGGGUAAAGAAGCACCGGCUAACUACGUG
rnacentral:rRNA from 1 species